rnacentral:rRNA from 1 species
CACGUAGGGACCAAGCGUUGUCCGGAUUCAUUGGGCGUAAAGAGCUCGUAGGCGGCUCAGUAAGUCGGGUGUGAAACCUCCAGGCUCAACCUGGAGACGCCACCCGAUACUGCUGUGGCUAGAGUCCAGUAGGGGAGCGUGGAAUUCCUGGUGUAGCGGUGAAAUGCGCAGAUAUCAGGAGGAACACCAAUUGCGAAGGCAGCUCGCUGGGACGUAACUGACGCUGAGACGCGAAAGCGUGGGGAGCAAACAGG